ensembl:misc_RNA
UCAGACUGCCAGGCCUGGAAAGUUCUAUGUGUCCCCAGGAUGGGUAGAAUGCAGCCAGUAGCAAUGCCAGUGUGCCCACAGUGCUCUCUUCUUGGGUCUUCUCCCUCAUCCAAAGUGGCCACCUCUAAGGAGGAGAGGAUAGUUUUGAGGCCACUUACCAUCUGGUCUCUCACUUUG